rnacentral:rRNA from 1 species
CAGUUGCCACGGUAAUACGAAGGGUGCAAGCGUUACUCGGAAUUACUGGGCGUAAAGCGUGCGUAGGUGGUUGUUUAAGUCUGCUGUGAAAGCCCUGGGCUCAACCUGGGAAUUGCAGUGGAUACUGGGCAACUAGAGUAAGGUAGAGGAUAGUGGAAUUUCCGGUGUAGCAGUGAAAUGCGUAGAGAUCGGAAGGAACAUCUGUGGCGAAGGCGACUAUCUGGGCCGUUACUGACACUGAGGCACGAAAGCGUGGGGAGCAAACAGGAUUAGAUACCCCUGUAGUCCCUGUCUCUUAUAA